rnacentral:rRNA from 1 species
GACGGACGCUGGCGGCGUGCUUAACACAUGCAAGUCGAACGGAAAGGCCCCAGCUUGCUGGGGUACUCGAGUGGCGAACGGGUGAGUAACGCGUGGGUGAUCUGCCCUGCACUCUGGGAUAAGCCUGGGAAACUGGGUCUAAUACCGGAUAGGACCGUGCUUUAGUGUGUGCGGUGGAAAGUUUUUCGGUGCAGGAUGAGCCCGCGGCCUAUCAGCUUGUUGGUGGGGUAAUGGCCUACCAAGGCGGCGACGGGUAGCCGGCCUGAGAGGGUGUACGGCCACAUUGGGACUGAGACACGGCCCAGACUCCUACGGGAGGCAGCAGUGGGGAAUAUUGCACAAUGGGCGCAAGCCUGAUGCAGCGACGCCGCGUGGGGGAUGACGGCCUUCGGGUUGUAAACCCCUUUCGGCAGGGACGAAGCCUUUGUGACGGUACCUGCAGAAGAAGCACCGGCUAACUACGUG